rnacentral:sRNA from 1 species
AGAGCAGUCCCCACCAAAAGUGUUUACCAAGUGGAGUCUUUCCUGCUGGCGUUUCCUCAGGGUCAGGAAGCAACUUUCCCAGGACAGGGGCACCCUGAGGUCCGGGUCCACUGAGCUAUGGGGGCGGCGUGGGCCUGGGCUGGGUUCUUGCCAUCCUGGGCAGCUUCCCGGCGUGGGUGACUGAGCCCGGGUCCUGGAGUCCGCGGUCCCAGCGUCUCCACUUCUCAGCUGAUUCCUAGAAGCUGAGUCCCGUCCCUUCUCCGAGCGUGGUUUCCUCUCCUGCCUUGCCUGCCUCGCAGGCAGUUGUGGGAGCAGAAGUGUGUCUGUGCAUCUGUGUCUCUGUGCAGGAGGCCUGUGCAACCUGUGCCCAGACAGGGCCAACAAGGAGCACAUCCUGCACGCAGGAGGUGUCCCACUCAUCAUCAACUGCCUAUCCAGCCCCAACGAGGAGACCGUGCUGUCUGCCAUCACCACGCUCAUGCACCUGAGCCCGCCGGGCCGCAGCUUUCUCCCAGAGCUGACCGCCACGCCCGUGGUGCAGUGCAUGCUUCGCUUCUCCCUCUCGGCCAGCGCCAGGCUCCGGAACCUGGCGCAGAUCUUCCUGGAGGACUUCUGCUCCCCCCGCCAGGUGGCCGAGGCCCGCAGCCGGCAGGCUCACUCUGCCCUGGGUAUCCCACUGCCGAGGAGCGUGGCCCCACGGCAGCGCUGAUCCAUGGAGACUGCGAGACCGUGGCACCCCUACUGCUGGAGAACACGGUCCUGAUGUGGACGCAGGGAACAGGGGGAGCACAUACUGCCCCAUUGGUGCCUUUUCAGCCAUCUGAAAGGCGGGUUCUUUCAGCAGGACGGGCAUUUACACUGAUGAAACGCCACUGGGAGUGAGGAGGCCAGACUCCGGAGACACGGAGAAGAUCAAACUGGAGCUGCGUUCAUAGGCUGGCACUCUCAACCCUACAUCUGGUGCCACCACCACCAGGCUCAGGCCCUGGUGUAAGAAGCGGCCAAGUGCCUGGACCCAGAAGCUCUGCAGGACAGUGUUCUCAGGAGCUGGGCCUGAGGCUUAGGAGAGCUGCCUUCGCUGCAGGAAAUCAGAGAUUAUCCCUUAACAGAAGUGUCUGGAGUAG